UACAGAGGUCCCGAGCGUUGUUCGGAUUCACUGGGCGUAAAGGGUGCGUAGGUGGCGAGGUAAGUCGGAUGUGAAAGCUCGGAGCUCAACUCCGAAAUGGCAUUGGAAACUACCUUGCUCGAGGGUUGGAGGGGGACUGGAAGUACGUUGGUGUAGCAGUGAAAUGCGUAGAUAUCAAGUGGAACACCAGUGGCGAAGGCGAGUCCCUGGACAACUCCUGACACUGAGGCACGAAAGCUAGGGGAGCAAACAGG
rnacentral:rRNA from 1 species